UGGGGAAUAUUGCACAAUGGGCGCAAGCCUGAUGCAGCCAUGCCGCGUGUGUGAAGAAGGCCUUCGGGUUGUAAAGCACUUUCAGCGGGGAGGAAGGCGUUAAGGUUAAUAACCUUGGCGAUUGACGUUACCCGCAGAAGAAGCACCGGCUAACUCCGUGCCAGCAGCCGCGGUAAUACGGAGGGUGCAAGCGUUAAUCGGAAUUACUGGGCGUAAAGCGCACGCAGGCGGUUGAUUGAGUCAGAUGUGAAAUCCCCGGGCUUAACCCGGGAAUUGCAUCUGAUACUGGUCAGCUAGAGUCUUGUAGAGGGGGGUAGAAUUCCAUGUGUAGCGGUGAAAUGCGUAGAGAUGUGGAGGAAUACCGGUGGCGAAGGCGGCCCCCUGGACAAAGACUGACGCUCAGGUGCGAAAGAGUGGGGAGCAAACAGG
rnacentral:rRNA from 1 species